AGCCCUUCACCAGCACGUUGUGUCCUCAGGACCCAGUAUUUGGCUUUACCGGGCAGUGGUGGACGGUGAAGGAUAGGUCCGACGGAGGGACAGGGACCGUCUCUGAACCGAUCAUCCGGUUCCACCCCGGUGCUGAGCCUGAAGAGCAGAGCCAAGAAAAGCAAGCAUUUGAACAAGCCGAGGUGCCUCUGUGGGAGUUAGGUUUUUCAGAAGGGAUCCUUAACGGAAGAUUGGCACAGAUCGCCUUUCACGAAGCAGUGAAGAAAAUGAAAGGAGCUGAAUUUCACCUUGCCAGACUUUCGAUUGCCAAACUGUUUGACCUUGCCAGAGAUCUACGAAAAGAAAUUUACAAACUCUUGCAGACUCUGCAGGCCUAUGCCCUAGUCUCCUGGGACCAGAUAAUAAUCAGAGCACCUACGACGCGAACCAGGACGAUGCCGGACUGCGGGCAGUCUGGCUCCUUGAAACCAUCCAACGUGGGAUCGUCUUCAUCAAGACUCGAGGAAAACCAGGACAACGACCAGCUGCGGGCAGUCCGAAACCUUGAAACCAUCACGUUCACCAAGACUUGGGGCAAACCAGUCGGAUUGGUAACUGUAGGGGUGUGUGUGGGUACAUAGGUGCCUGAUCCCUGUUUCAGUUUAAAAUAUAGCUUUCCACUGGAACAGUG